rnacentral:rRNA from 1 species
UACGGAGGGAGCUAGCGUUGUUCGGAAUUACUGGGCGUAAAGCGCACGUAGGCGGCGAUCUAAGUCAGAGGUGAAAGCCCGGGGCUCAACCCCGGAACUGCCUUUGAGACUGGAUUGCUUGAAUCCGGGAGAGGUGAGUGGAAUUCCGAGUGUAGAGGUGAAAUUCGUAGAUAUUCGGAAGAACACCAGUGGCGAAGGCGGCUCACUGGACCGGCAUUGACGCUGAGGUGCGAAAGCGUGGGGAGCAAACAGG